CAGCCGCCGCGGUAAUACGAAGGGGGCUAGCGUUGUUCGGAAUCACUGGGCGUAAAGGGUGCGUAGGCGGAUCCUUAAGUCAGGAGUGAAAUCCCGAGGCUCAACCUCGGAACUGCCUUUGAUACUGGGGAUCUUGAGUCCGGAAGAGGUGAGUGGAACUGCGAGUGUAGAGGUGAAAUUCGUAGAUAUUCGCAAGAACACCGGUGGCGAAGGCGGCUCACUGGUCCGGAACUGACGCUGAGGCACGACAGCGUGGGGAGCAAACAGGAUUAGAUACCCGCGUAGUCCCUGUCUCUUAUAC
rnacentral:rRNA from 1 species